CCCUUAGAUGUUCUGGGCCGCACACGCGCUACACUGAAGGAGGCAGCGUGUACUCCUGGAUCGAAAGAUUUGGGUAACCCGCGAAUCUCCUUCGUGCUAGGGAUUGAGGUUUGCAAUUAUCCUUCAUGAACGAGGAAUUCCCAGUAAGUGCAAGUCAUAAGCUUGCGCUGACUACGUCCCUGCCCUUUGUACACACCGCCCGUCGCUACUACCGAUUGAAUGAUUUAGUGAGGACUUCGGACUGGGACGGAUGCGGCUUUCGGGCUGCGUCGGUAUUCUGGAAAGAUGUCCAAACUGUAUCAUUUAGAGGAAGUAAAAGUCGUAACA
rnacentral:rRNA from 1 species